CCCAGCCCAUUAACAAGCGUUUUCCCCAGCCUAUUAACAAGCGUUUUUUCCCAGCCUAUUAACAAGCGUUUUUCCGCCCCCUUUUAACAAGCGUUUUGUUACAGUGACUCUCCCUUUGAUGUCCAUGAGGUUAAGUGUGAAAGAAAACUAACGAUUCCUCCAUAGCUUUUGACUUUUAAUCUGCACUGUUUUAAUACCUGACCAUCUUUUUCUUUUUUUUCCAGGUCAGUGGGGUCAAUGAGGUCAGAUCCUUGCAGCAAAGGUUAAGUGCCCAGGUGAAGUAUUGGGUAAAGUAUCUGGUAAGUCUCCUCCACAGGUCAUAACCUUCCUUCAGCAUGGUAUUAAUGAUGUUUUUGUUUGUCUUUUUUCAAUAGAUUGCGACAUGUUGUCACUAAAUGUUGUUUCAAGCUUUGCAGAGACGGCUGCUUGGGGACACCGUAGCUGACAUUGGUUUGAUCAUGUUUUCUUCUUGAGGAUGAUGAAGUGUGUGUGCGAUGACAUCUUCACUGAGCCGAUGUGAUGCUUACAAGCAGGAUUAGUGGUCCUGCAGAAGAUUUGUGUUGAGCAGUCUCUUGUGGAGUGGUGACUACAUCUGGAACUGUUAGAAUGAGCAGCGUUGGGAGGACACUGGGAGUUGUGAAUGUCAACAACUGGACCUGGUUUGAUGAGCAUCAUUUUGAGGACAGGAGCACAGAUUCAACAACAGACGACUUGAUGGGCCCAAUUUUAAAGAGCUGCUAAGCACAACAAAUUUGCUUAUCAUGACAUUUCCUUCUUGUUGAGCAGUCUCUUGUGCAGUGGUGACUACAACCGGACUUUUUCAUGAGCAUCGUUUGAGGAAACAGGCGUUAUGAGACUGUAAUACUGCAUGUUGAACUGUCUCUUGUGGAGUGGCACUGAUUGAAUGAGCAUCAUUUGAGGAUAGCCUACAGGUGCAA